rnacentral:lncRNA from 1 species
GCUGAGUACCCCGUACUCAAGGGAAUCCUUCGUUGCUAUUUCAGAGCCGCAGCAAGAGUCCACCGAGGAAGAAGCCCCGAAGAACUAGGGUAUUUUUACAAGUCUCCUAAUACCCUAGAAAUAAACUUAGAUGUUUAUCUUUCACCUGGACCGGUUUAUGUUUUAAACUCUUAGAACCGCUCUAACCUGCACUAUUAAGUUCGUUUCAAACUAUGGUCUGUAAUAAUUC